UGACUCUCACUGAGUCUGGGACAGCCGUAGCAGGACUGUCCAGGACUGGGAUGAUGCUAAGGAAGUCAGGGCCAGGGGUCUGCAGGUGGCCCACCCUGCUGCUUUGGUGACCUGUAUGUCUGUGUGAAGGAGCACACUGUCUAUGACCACAACAGAACGGAGAAGUCCAAGGAGAUGGAAAGGCCAUGUGAACAAGGAUGCUAUUGUCCAGUGGGAAGUCCCACACCAGUGCAAUGUCUGAAGGGUACGUUUGGGCCGACGGUUGGUGCUAGAUCCAUAGACAGCUGUCUCAACUGCCCAACCAACCACUACUGCUCCGCGGUCUGCUCUGCCCUCCAGCCUGCCCUGUGGAGCCUGGGCACAGUAGCCCCUACCUGGCCAGGACAGAUGUAUUUAUGUUUCGUAUCGUGUAUCAAUGACUCUGUCCUAUCAGUCUUUCGUAGUACCAGGCACACAGGUUUCAUGCACGAACAGUUAACACAAUAUGCUGUAUCCACUUGAUUCAUGGGUACAAUCAACAUAGCCGGAGUCUAAUUUCCAUCCGUAUCAGUCACCCUUCCAUGUCAGUCAGGAGCCUUCCACUCAGCAGUUGAUGUUCAAAAGGGAAAUGACUGUAGGUACUCUGAAGGACUUCCAGUUAUUGGAGAUUGAGUGUCGAUCUAAGCAUUUUGUUGAUGUCAAAUCAAAACAAAUCCAAUUGUAUUUGUCACAUGCUUUGUAAACAACAGGUGUUUACUAACAGUGAAAUGCUUACGAACUGGACUUUCCCAACAAUGCAGAAAGAAACAUAGGAAAAUAAUAGAAAAAUAAUAGGAAUAAAAACACAAUGAGUAACAAUAACUUGGCUAUAUACACGGGGUACCAGUACCGAGUCGAUGUGCAGGGGUACGAGAUAAUUGAGGUAAACAUGUAAAUUGUCACUCCUACUCUCGCUCUUCCCCCCGGUGGCACUCAAGGGCGCCAGGCUGCCCUGUAUUACGCACUCCUGCCACCAUCAUUACGCACACCUGCCUUCCCUCGUUACGCGCAUCAGCGAUUCAUUGGACUCUCCUGGACUCAAUUACCUGUUUUUUUUUUAUCUCCCCUAUAUCUGUCUGUUCCCCAGCUCCUUUCCCCGCUUCAGCAUUGAUGGUUGUCAGUCUUUGUGUUACCCAGUUCUGAUGCCGUUCCUGUCCUGUUGCAUGUCCAUUCCAAAUUAAAUGUAAACUCCUCGUG